AUUAGUAGUUUUUUUUUCCCUUCUUAUCCAAUUGCAUUGAUGCAUAUCCAACCUCUUUACUUGUUGUAUCUUUUUAUAAAUAUUAUGUUUGAUAAAUUUUAUUAUGGUAUAUAUUCCAUACUAGCAUUUUUACUUUUGUUAUGUCUAUAUAUAUAUAUAUAUAUAUAUACAUUUAUAUACAUUUAAUCUUUGACGGAUUUAUUUGUUGCUUUUGUCACACAAUUAGUAAUAAAUAAUUCAUCAUUGGUCCUUUAGUCAAAACAGAUCAUGUUACAUAUGUUUGAUAAUAUUUAUAGCAAGCAUUAAGUCUUCAUCUCCUUUGUGUUUUAUUUUUUUUAUUAGAUAGGAUUGAAUUAAGAAAAUUUAAUCUGUUAAUUUAAAACAACUUUUUGUGUUAUUUUUGAGACUAUACUCUGCACUAUUUUUAUUUAUUUUUCAGUAUAAAUUGUUGUUGUUGUUGUUCUUUUCGUUAUUAUUAUUAUUAUUAUUAUUAUUUGUUUUAUUUAAAAAAUAGAUUUUUUUACAACAAACCUUUUUGAAGUUUCACUAGACUUAAUUUACUAAAUAAUUUUUUUCACUUUACUAAAUUGAAAAGGUUUAUUUCAAUAUAUUUGACAUAAAUAUUUUACUAUAUUUGACUUAUUGUGCUAAUGUGUACGCUCUUUUACUUUUGUAAACUGCUUUAGAUACUUAUCUUGCAUAAUUUGGAAGAUUGUGAAUGCUUCUAUUUUAUAUGAUUCUGAAUUGAGACUCUAGAUUAUGUACAUACAUACACGCAUACACCUCAAAUUGAUAUAUAUAUAUAUAUAUAUAUAUAUAUGUAUGUAUCUUCUAUUGACCUACAUCAUCUAAAGCACAUAAAAUGUUGAUACUCUUGUUGAUAAAGUUCUGGUUUUUUUAUUUACAUCUUCGAAAUUAAACAACAUUAAAAUUUAGGUAUUUUUCAUUUCUUAUCCCUAUCUCUUUCCACUAAAUAUCAAUGUUUAACUUUGGUUUUGCUUUAGAAUAAAAAGGUUUCUUACCUAGUCUUUAGAAUGACAUUAUUAUUAGAAUUGUAAUAUAAACACUAACAUUCUAAUUAUUGGAUUCAUUUCUAGCUCUCAACCAAAUAUUACUACCAUACACACACACACACACACACACAUAUAUAUAUAUAUAUAUAUAUAGAAACAUUAAAAGAAACACAAAGAGACAAGGUGAAAUGCUCACAGGUAUUGGAGAAACUGUUGUAGGUAAAGGAAUCCAGAAACUUCUGUGAGAAGUUGUAUGCAGGAUGGAAGAAGAAGAAGAAGCAGAAAUAGAAGCACCAGGCCUUACUGCAAUAGCCACCAUGAAGUAAAUAAGUGAUUGUUGCACACACACUUACUCUCUCAACUCAACACACACUUAAACACACACCCACAUCUGUGCACAAAGCUUCCAUACAACAAUGGAUAACUGUUAUAUGUUUGCCAAACCCAACAAAGCAUCUCAACCCUAGUUCUUUAAUCACAAGGUAGCAGCACUUCUACCUGGUCCCCACUGAUCAUUACUUUUGACAAUCCUUCUUGAAAAUAAUUGUUGGUUAUUGAUUUAUGUUCUUACUAAGAUGAAGCAAAUUAAGACAUAAUCCAAUAUAAGGCAUUAGGAAGUGUGCAGAGAGGUUGAUGGAAGCAAAUUUUUAUCAUUUGAUUUUACAAAUGAAAAAAAAACAUUUGUAACAUAGCUUUUCAAAAUGGUUUUCUAAUUAUGAUGUAGCAGUAGAACAUCUCAUACAAUCAUAAAAAAAUAAAAUAAAAUGUGACCUCAAAUAAUUAAAUGACAGGCACAAGUAAAAACCUCAAUCAAUACUGAAGAUGUUGUGUUGUUACAGCAUCUGAGGCCUUUCCCCAACUUCAAAUAAAGUCACAAAAAAGUGUAUUAACAUUGUGAAGAACACCCCUCUAUCACUGCUUAGUAUUUGGAAUAACAAAAGGAUGCUGAUAUUUUGAAGCAUGUAAAGCCAAUUGGAACACCAAGCUCUGCAUCUUUGGGAAAAAGUAAAUAAAUACUAAAUAUCAUCACCUACAAAAUGUAUGUAUUUUUCACAACUAUAAUCUUAUGGAUGAGAACUCAAAAACAAAAUAAUGUAAAAUUAAUUAAUUUUUUUUCCAUGAGUUUCAUGAGUUAUCUUUGGAUUUCUAGGGAAGUCACUUGUAUUUUCAUAAUUAUGCUUCGAAAUUGGUAUUACACUUCCAAUACACUUUCUUACAUUGUAUCAAAACUUGGUGCCUUAGAUUGCUCAAAUUGCUUUAAUGAGGUUCUUAGCAAGUCAUGGCCUUUCAAAUGUGGCCUUUCAAUAACUUUUGAACUACAAAAAAUAAUAUAGAAAUUGUGGACUUUCUUGAAAAGUGGUGAAUCUGUUUUGAGCCUAAUCCAGAAAUUAACUUUCUUUGGGUAACUUAGAAGAAGCAAUGCUAAUAAAGAACAUAAUUAAAUGUUCAAAAAUACUUUGGAGAGUCUUUGGUUAGACCUUAAUCCUACUUCUGUAGGGGAACAAGAAUUGGAAGUCAACAACAUGAACAAAUAAUGAAAACAGAUUUUAGAUUUCAGCUUGGGAAGACAAUAUUAAAUCUUUUUGGAGAAUGCAUUUUAGGAAUCAAACAAAAAAUUAACAUAAAAUAAAGUAAAAUGCAAGAUUAGUGGAACACAUUAGCGAGUUUAGAGGCUCAUGCAAACUUAUGAAGUAAUUUUUUACUUUGAAAAUUUUAAUUUUUAAUUUUAAUUUUAAUUUUUUUCAUUUUGUUUUUGUAAUUUUUUAGUUGAACUUUUUGAUAGAUGCUUGUGGCAUAAUUCCACAUGAACUCAAUUAUAUGAAUGUGAAUGAAUAUAAAUAAUAAAAUAAAGAAAUAAAUACCUAGUACGUACCUUAUAUUCAUGAAGGAAAAUAAGUAUUACAUUACAAAAAAAUGAUGGUUACUGUUGGCAUCUUUCGAAGGGAGAAAAGCAAUAUGAGUUUAUAAAGGUCCACAGAAGGUCAUUUUGAAAAACUUUUAACACUCUGUGUUAACUAUUGCUUUGAUAAAGUUUUUUUUUUUAAAAAUAAAAAAUGAAGAUAAUAUUAUAUGAUAUGUAGAUGUGGAUUAGAUGCAUGUAAGCAGGCAAUUUCAGUCAUAAUUUACAAAUCCAAGGUUUCUACCCACAGGUAUUGGAAAAUAAAAAUAUAAUAAAAUAACAUACUCAAACCACACAAUAAACUUUGGAAGAUGUAUAAAAAGUAGAAAACUUUAAACCUAAUAUAUUUGUAGCUUGAAGAACAAUAUUUGUGCAACCAAAAUUAUAGCAAAUGUGAAUUUAAAGCUUGCAAAAAAAUACUUAUUAGAAGAGGCUAAUUUUAAGGUACUAGUUAGUAUAAUUUGGUUCACUCAAAAAUAGAAAUUUAAAUUGAUAUUGCAUAUGUAAUGAAAGUUGUUAGUUGGUACACAACAAAUGUUGACCAAAAAAUAU
rnacentral:lncRNA from 1 species